GCGCUGUGCAGGCCCCACUUUCUAAGUCCUGUUCCUGCAGAGAAUCCUGUGACACUCAGGCUUGGGCCGUGUCUUCCUUCCUGGGCGGGGAUUGCCCCAGUCCAAGCUGUAGCCCUGCCCAGUCUCCCCGCCUCUACCUGCCUCUCUCCUCCUCACUUCAGGGAGUAGGGAGGCAGGCAGGGAGCGGAGCCAAGGCACUUUUGUGUGUCAGUAAUUGUAUGUAUAAAAACAUAUCCACAAUAAUAAUAAUAAUUACUUUUUAUUGAGCAAUUGCAACAAGCCAGAUACAAUGCUAUUUGACUUGGACAGUUUCACUUCACACAAGCCUAGGAGGUAAGUGCUGUUGUUAUCCCAUUUUACAGAUAAGAACACUGAGACCCAGAGACAUUAAAAGACUGGGCCAGGUUACCUGGCUUAUUACUAAUGGGAUUCAAAGCCAGGUCUUGAGGAUGUGUUUAACCACCAGACUUUGAAAGGAAGAGCAGUAUCGUUUAUAUUAAUAGGGCCACUUGCCUUUGUUUAGUGAACAUUCCCACUUGACCCAAAGGCCCUUUCCCAUCCUACAUAAUUAGUCACAGGCCUGAUAAAGGCAAAUACACAAAUGUCAUAUUGAAAUGCAUGUAAAUUCUGCCACUGACUAGCUGGGUCUCACCUCGUCUCCCUUAUGAAGAGAUGUAACACAACCCUGUUGUAUUCUUGCCAAAAACAUUUAGCUGGACUCCGACUGUUAGGCAGAAAGACAGACAUAAGCAGGUGGGGGGAGAAUAAGGCCAGUGACGCCCACUAAAAGGGACUCAAAGAGUUAACCAGAUAAAACCAGAGAGCCAGAAAAGACAGAGUUACUUAGCUGAAGUCUCUCGAGAACCAGGAGGGACUUGGAAUGUCCAGACACUUCCCAGAUGAAAAACAACUUCCCAGAGGAGAAGCUUCUAAGAACAGACACGGCCCAGAUAAAAUACCAGAAGACAGAAACAGCAAGCAUCAAGUGCAGCCCAUGUCUUCUAUUUACCAAUUAGACCAGGCCCCCAAGGCCAAAGACCGUCAAUCAAGGACUUCCCUGUCCUGCCAAAAUCCCCACAAAAAGAAGCCUCACAUGAGGACAAGAAGCAAGGAGAACCGACUCAACCUGUAACAUGACUAUGAGAAAAAAGACAAAUAUAGAACAUGGGACAUUUCCAAGGCAACUAACUGAUCCGUCUCUGCCAAACACUUCUCCAGGGGGCAAUGUCAUGAAAGACGAUAGAAAAGCAAGACAGCCAAACAGAAGAUGACAUGUCAUGAUGUCUGCAGUGUGCUCUCAUGUGGUUCCAGAAAAGAAGUAAUAAAGGAGAAAAAGAGAGUGUAACUCCAGGGAGAGGAAAUACUGGGGCAAAAUAUAUCUAAAACUGAAAUCAGUCAAAGGGAGA